UACGGGGGGAGCAAGCGUUGUUCGGAUUUACUGGGCGUAAAGGGCGCGUAGGCGGUCAGCACAAGUCAGUUGUGAAAUCUCCGGGCUUAACUCGGAAAGGUCAACUGAUACUGUGCGACUAGAGUGCAGAAGGGGCAACUGGAAUUCUCGGUGUAGCGGUGAAAUGCGUAGAUAUCGAGAGGAACACCUGCGGCGAAGGCGGGUUGCUGGGCUGACACUGACGCUGAGGCGCGAAAGCCAGGGGAGCGAACCGG
rnacentral:rRNA from 1 species